AUCUAUUAUCUAAAGGGCGUGGACUGUUCAUUCGCGUCUCAACUGUUCAUUCGAGCUCCAAUUGAAUGACGCUUUUGCCCUUCUCUUCUUCUUCUAAUUACGGGUUGCCAUGCUUCUAUACGUUUCCAGACGUCUCUAUAUGAGGCCGGUUUCCAGAAGUCUCUAUCUUGAGGCAAUAUAGAGAACCACAGUUGAUCCUUAUUAAACCAAGCGUUGCAACCGACCUCAUACUUUUCCGGAAAUCUCUAUCAAAAUCGAAAUCCAAUCUGAUAAUCCACCGACAUCAGCGAUUAAAUAUGAUUCAUCCUUUUCGGGCAGCCUCUAUCCAAAUCGAGCUUCAUAUUCAACCGACCUUGGCCGGGGAAUUGAAAUCAAGAACAUCGCUGGGAUAGGAAGAAGAAGAAGAAGAGACGUCCAAGAUUUUGGUCGACUUUAGGAGCAAAGUUUGGGUUUGUUUCGGAAAAGGUUGCUGCUAGAAUUUUGAUCGAGUUUGGGAGGAAGCUUUCAAUAGCCGUGUUCUUCGGGAAGCAUCUGUUUACACCGACCUCCACUGUUACACCCAAAUACCCAAAUCGUUGAUCCCAAUCGUGACACUACCAAUUCUUCGGUGUCGUCUACAGCCGUGUGAGAUGGUUGGAUUCUAUUCAAUCUUGAGCAUCAGAGCGCAAAUCAUCUAUUCCAUAAAAGAACCAGUGAGGCUAGAGAUGUGAUGCUUAGGAAGACAAAGGUGGAUCAGCAUUUUGAUUCAUUUGAUAAUCCUUCAGAUUGUGAGUGGGUGUGCUCAAGCUCAAUGGUAGAAUAAUACCCCCUUUAUUAACGUUCACAUAAAGCAAGCAAUGGUCACCCAUAAGUUAAAGAUAUUGAGAAAUAGCGUUCCACCAGUCAAUGUGUUGUAGGUUCAAAUUUUGUUAAAAGCCAGAUAGAGCAUUUUUAUAUUGAAGUGUAUGAUAUUGGACGCCCAAAAGGGUUGAAAGAAGGCUAUUUGUGUUAUGAGAUUUUUGUACUUGCAAUUCAAUUUGAAAACAUUUUCAUAUCAGAGAAAAGAAAGAAAAAAAAGAUCGAAGCUUUCACAUGACUGAUGAUUUGCCAUUUUUUCAUAUAUUUCAUCUCCCAUAUUGACUGCACAA